rnacentral:rRNA from 1 species
UACGUAGGGUGCAAGCGUUUGUCCGGAAUUAUUGGGCGUAAAGCGUCUGUAGGUGGCUUUUUAAGUCCGCCGUCAAAUCCCAGGGCUCAACCCUGGACAGGCGGUGGAAACUACCAAGCUGGAGUACGGUAGGGGCAGAGGGAAUUUCCGGUGGAGCGGUGAAAUGCGUAGAGAUCGGAAGAACACCAACGGCGAAAGCACUCUGCUGGGCCGACACUGACACUGAGAGACGAAAGCUAGGGAGCGAAUGGG